AGUCCACUUUCGCUUACGAUGGGGCGACUCUUGUCCAUCGUCACCUCACCGGGAAACUUUUCCUGCCGGGCCAGUUAAUGGUCCCCUGUACCAUCCCCAUCCUGAGUGACUACUAAGCAGCCGCAGCGACUCGGGGUUGCUCCGUGACCACGUUACUCAGUUAACCUUCUUGUUCCCUGGAGAGGCGGAGCUGAAUGGCCCGGACGGGGUUUCUCCAUGUUUCCCAGGCUGGUCUCAAACUCCUGGACUCAAGCAAUCUGCCCACCUUGCCUCCCAAAAUGCUCCUCCAAAAAAGGAGUGUGCCGCCACACCCAGCCUGAGCAACUUUUGUUUUUAAGGUAAGCACCUAAAGAUAAACAGUUUGGAUUUUCAUGAAGGAAGAAAGUGAAUACUAGAAAUUACAGUCUGAUAAAUGGAUCAUGAGCAAAAUGUCGAGGGUCCUGUUAACGAAGCCAUGCAGAGAGGCAUAAUUGUCCCAAGAUCCAUUCAUACCAAGUUAGCCUUUCUUAUGUCCACCUCCUUACCCCUUGCUAUUAGAGGUUGAAAAAGAAUAUUCCAUGCUGCAAAGUGCAUGGUGUGGUGUACAAAAAAAUCCUGACAAAGUUGAAAUUUGUCUCUCCGAUAUGAAAAAGACAAAAGCAACUUAAUAACCAUAAUGUUUUGAUUGCAUAUAAACAUAUGACAACAAUGAUCAUCUCCAAGAUUAAUUUGGAUGUAGCCUAAUGAUCACACACCCUAAUCAUAAUGUCUUUUCAGAGGAGAACAUUUAAAGUAACAACCAAUUACUUAAUGAUAUUAUUUUUGUCUCAUGUUGAUAUAUUUAUUCAACAGACCUUUAUUAAGUUCACUUCCUGGGAGCCAGACUGUGAUGGAUGCUGGAGAUAUAAAAAUGAAUAGAACCCUGAACUUUGAAGGUUCAAUAUCUAGGAGUGGUGUUAAAAACCUGAGCAGUUACAGCAAUAUUAUAAGUGUUAUCAUAAUCAAAUGAAUUAUGUUGAUAAAAUACUUAUAACAAAUAUAAUAAUAAUAAAUCUACAAAGGGCAACAGGAA